UAAGGAAUAUUGGUCAAUGGACGCAAGUCUGAACCAGCCAUGCCGCGUGGAGGAUUAAGGCCCUCUGCGUUGUAAACUCCUUUUAUCUGGGAAGAAAUGUACUUUUUCUUGAGUACUUGACGGUACCAGAGGAAUAAGCACCGGCUAACUCCGUGCCAGCAGCCGCGGUAAUACGGAGGGUGCAAGCGUUAUCCGGAUUCACUGGGUUUAAAGGGUGCGUAGGUGGGUAUGUAAGUCAGUGGUGAAAUACCGGAGCUUAACUUCGGAACUGCCAUUGAUACUAUAUGUCUUGAAUAUUGUGGAGGUAAGCGGAAUAUGUCAUGUAGCGGUGAAAUGCAUAGAUAUGACAUAGAACACCGAUUGCGGAGGCAGCUUGCUACGCAAAUAUUGACGCUGAGGCACGAAAGCGUGGGGAUCAAACA
rnacentral:rRNA from 1 species